AUAUCAAUAAGGCGAGGAACAGAAACCAACAGGGAUUCCCCUAGUAGUGGCGAAUGAAGCGGGAAAAGCUCAAGUUUGAAAUCUGAUGGGCUUGUCCCAUCAGAGUUGUAAGCUGAAGAGGCGUUGACCGACGUUGUCCGGGCCCAAUUUCCUUGGAACAGGAAGUCAUGGAGGGUGAGAACCCCGUCUGUGGCUCGGAGUCUUCGUCCUUGUGUCAUGUCCUCGAAGAGUCGGGUUGUUUGGGAAUGCAGCUCAAAAUGGGUGGUAAAUUCCAUCUAAGGCUAAAUAUUGGCGAGAGACCGAUAGCAAACAAGUAGAGUGAUCGAAAGAUGAAAAGUACUUUGAAAAGAGAGUGAAACAGUAC
rnacentral:rRNA from 1 species